rnacentral:rRNA from 1 species
CCAAAAAUCUAGCCCACAUAACCUAUACCACCACGUAUUAAUUAAUAAAAUAUUUUUACGCCCAAGUAAAGAUGAUUGAAAAAGCUAUAAGAGCAAUAGACAUUGUACCGCAAGGGAGAGAUGAAAUAAAUUAAAUACUUAAGCCCAAAAUAGUAGAGAUUUACCCUCGUACCUUUUGCAUCAUGAUUUAACUAGUUUAUUCAAGCAUAAAGACUUAAAGUUUGAACCCCCGAAACUGAGUGAGCUACUUCAUAGCAGCUUAAUGAGCGAACCCAUCUCUGUUGCAAAAGAGUGGGAAGACUAUCAAGUAGAAGUGAUAAACCUAACGAACUUAGUGAUAGCUGGUUUCUCAGGAAGAGAAUCUUAGUUCACCCUAAAGACACCAUAAUAUAUGUAAAUAGCACCUCGACUUUAGAGCAAUUCAAACAAGGUACAGCCUGUUUGAAAAAGGACACAACCUACAAUUGCGGGUAAUAAUUAUUUUUAAUACCAAGUGGGCCUAAAAGCAGCCAUCUUAGAGAAAUGCGUCAAAGCUUUAUAUAACCUCCACACACAAACUCCUAUAGACCCCCCCCCCUACUGAGAACUUCUAUGCCAACAUAGAAAAUUUUAUGUUAAAACUAGUAACAAGAAAAAAUUCUCUACCAAUAUAAGUGUAAGCCAAAAUGGACCAUCCACCGGCACUUAUUCAGCCAUGAAAGAUAAUAGUAACUUUUACAAGAAAACUCUAUUUUUUACCCUGUUAAUCUUAUACAAGAUUAUUCCAAGAAAGAUUAAAAUGAAAAGAAGGAACUCGGCAAACGAAGAUCCCGCCUGUUUACCAAAAACAUCGCCUCUUGCCACAUAUAAGAGGUCUAGCCUGCCCAGUGACUAAAAUUCAACGGCCGCGGUAUCCUGACCGCGCGAAGGUAGCGUAAUCACUUGUUUUUUAAAUAAAGACUAGUAUGAAUGGCACCACGAGGAUCAAACUGUCUCCUUUACAUAAUCAGUGAAACUAAUCUCCCCGUGAAAAAGCAGGGAUUAAACUACAAGACGAAAAGACCCUAUGGAGCUUUAAAUACGUAACUAUGCCUUUCCUCCCCCGCACUAGUUAUAAGUUUUAGGUUGGGGUGACCGCGGAGAAAAACAUAUCCUCCAUAAUGAAUAAGUUUACUUUAAACAAAAAGUCACAACUUCAUGUAUCAACAAAUUGACAUACUGAUCCAAUAAUCUGAUCAACGAACCAAGUUACCCUAGGGAUAACAGCGCAAUCCACUUUAAGAGUUCAUAUCGACAAGUGGGCUUACGACCUCGAUGUUGGAUCAGGGUAUCCCAGUGGUGCAGCCGCUACUAAAGGU